UACAGAGGUGGCAAGCGUUGUUCGGAAUUACUGGGCGUAAAGGGCGCGUAGGCGGCCUUCUAAGUCAGACGUGAAAUCCCCCGGCUUAACCUGGGAACUGCGUCUGAUACUGGAAGGCCUGAGUGCGGGAGAGGGAUGUGGAAUUCCAGGUGUAGCGGUGAAAUGCGUAGAUAUCUGGAGGAACACCGGUGGCGAAGGCGGCAUCCUGGACCGACACUGACGCUGAGGCGCGAAAGCUAGGGUAGCAAACGGG
rnacentral:rRNA from 1 species